GUAAGCUUGACAGGUCCUGCAGAGUCUUCCACCCCCAGCCCGGGAUGCAUUAGGCACAGAUGACUUCCCCACACACUAAGCAGAUAAAACCACGAGGCAGCACCGCUCCUUUGAAGGAAGCCAGGCCGUAAUUCUACUCCCUCAAGGUCACCGCAGGCCAGCACCACGUGCAGCAGAGUUACACCAGGUCUGGGCCAUGACAGGCUGUGGCGUGCACCCCUCACCACCACAGCAACGCACUUUUUAAUACCCGGAAUGACCACUCCACAGGCAAACACACUUCUUAGCACCCAGACCGCCAGCUCUGAAGCGGACAAAGCGGGCAGCGAGUGGGGUGACCCGGUUUCCCCGGGUGUCCCGCUCGCCGUACCGCGGAAGGGCCGGGCGCUCCCGCAGCGGGGCGCACCGCCCGCUCCCGCCGGGGGCUGCGAGCCCCGCGCCCGCCGCCGCGCCGCCGCCCGACCCCUUCCGAAGGAGCCGCAGCGCCCGAGCCGGGCCGCGCGGCGCCGGUACCGAGCCGGCACCCAACCGCUGCCCAUUGGGACCCCCCCGCGGCCCGCUCCCUGCCUUUUUCUCCCUCCCCGGCCUCCAGCACCCUGCUCCCAGCGGAGGCACUCACCGCAGCUCACCCCGGCCGCCCCUGGCCCUAUAAAGGCGGCCGGGGGAAGGCGGCGCGGGCCCCCGCGGCCCCGGGGAAGCGGGAAACGUUCACUGUCCAGGAAGAUGAACAUCAGCUCUUCUGAAGCAUCCUCCUGGAAUAGCACCCAAAGCUACAGAAACAAGACCAUCAAAACUCACCCAGCACCUUGCAGUAGAUGUUGCCCAGGCUAUUUGGAGAGGUAGGUCAACCCAUACAGUGUCACAUGGGGAUUGCACGAGGAGGAAAAAGUAAGAUGGCUUCUGCAUGUAAGGCCAUGCAGUUAUUUAAUUGCAGACAGAUUUUGUCCAGAAAAAGAAGGCAGUCAGGUCCUUAAUUUUUAACAUAUAGAAAGCACCAUCCAGCUGUGUUGGUUGUUUAUUUGUUUGUUAAAAGCAAUUUGGGAUCUCUGGAGGAUCUGGAACUGUGAUGCAGCCCACACAGAGCACAGAAAAAAAGUGUCAUUGAUACCUUUGCUCUUUUUAGGACUUCAGAUUACUCUGUGGGUCCAAGUGGCCAGUGGUAUAAAUUUGAUUAUCUCUGAUUCACAGAAACUACCCAUUAUGAGGAAGAAAAAAGCUCAAAGUCACUUUUUCCCCUUCCCUUUGUGGCAUGUGCUUUCUGCAUUAUACAUGUGAGCAGUGUGAUUCUCAUCUGCCACGCAUGUGGUAGGAGAGCACAGGUGUAAAAGCCAUUCCAGAGGCAUAAAGGACCUUCACUCUUCCCUGGGUACCUGAGAAGAAGAAAGGUACUCUAAGAAGCAGAGGAGCAAACAGGGGUUGGAUGCCAAAACAGUGGAACCAAAUACGCACCACAAGUGCAGAACUGGAUGAAACCAGUGGCUUGGGGUCUUAUAUCUAAUGUUUUCAGCACCACAAACUUUAGAGAAAGGUGAGAGGCACUUCAACCGGCUUGCUGUAAAGGAAGUUGCUUUUAAAUCUCAUAAAACAAUUUAUGUUCUGAAAUACAAGAUCAUCUGUCCUUCAGAGGGGUUGACCUUGGUCUUCAGAUGUCACCACAGGAUGGCUUGGGUUGGAAGGGACCUCAAAGAUCAUAGGCAGGGAUGCCAUAGCAGUACUGUUCUGGAUGUUAUCUUUUUGAUUUGUUUAUAUCUUUAUUGUUAAAAAAAAAAAAAAAAAAGAGGAAAAAAGACACUUUUUGGUAUUUAAAUCAGCAGUUGGCAAAAGUAUCAAAAAACACGUACUUAACUCUGGGGGAUCUGGCAUUGGUAGGCCAUCCUCCCAUUGAGGCACGAUUGGUGUCGCUAUCCCAGAGCCAACUUGAUGACUAUUCAGUGAUGGAAAUAAUUAGAGUUAGCUCAUUAACAGAGACAUAAAUGAACGUGAAUCUAUUUUCCUCCACAAAAUCUUUCAAGGCAGGGCUGCAGACAGAAGCCAGUACAAGCACCUGUCUUGCCGACUCCUUAACACUGCGCCUUCCCUGAGCACACCGCGCCUCUGCAGCGUGUAAAAGCUUUAAAAACUAAAAACUUCCCAACAAUUCCCAAGCUCUCGCUGUGCUGGGGACAAAACGCGACAAAAAACGCGACAGGGCAAGGCGGAACCCUCGGCUCGGGGCUGCUGUUCCCGGCCGGCGGCGCUGUGGAGGGGGCCGGGAGCUC
rnacentral:lncRNA from 1 species